rnacentral:ncRNA from 1 species
UAACCGGAUAGCCUUAGCGGGCAACAAAUAGGAGUCAUUACCCUAUUUCCGGUUAUUCCUUUCGUAAUG